GUGCCAGCAGCCGCGGUAAUACGGGGGGGGCAAGCGUUGUUCGGAAUUACUGGGCGUAAAGGGCUCGUAGGCGGCCAACUAAGUCAGACGUGAAAUCCCUCGGCUUAACCGAGGAACUGCGUCUGAUACUGGAUGGCUUGAGAUCGGGAGAGGGAUGCGGAAUUCCAGGUGUAGCGGUGAAAUGCGUAGAUAUCUGGAGGAACACCGGUGGCGAAGGCGGCAUCCUGGACCGACACUGACGCUGAGGAGCGAAAGCCAGGGGAGCAAACGGGAUUAGAUACCCCGGUAGUCC
rnacentral:rRNA from 1 species